GUGACGACGUUAUUGUUUUCAAUCAAUUAUAUAGGGAUUGUUAAUUAUUUAAUAGUUGUUUUUUGGAAAAGAAUGGGAUGGAAAUGCUGUGCCCAGGAUGUAGACAGGGGUAUGACAGUACCCCCAAGAACCCUGAAAUUAGUUAUCACAAAUUUCCUGGUUCCAAUGGACACCCUAAUCCUCAUCUUCAGUCAGGCUGGAAAGGGCAAUACCUAGAUCAAUCCCGGAUCUUAAAACCAAAACAACCAUUUAGACAAUUAAAGAAAAUUCAAGGAUAUGUUGCCUACAUUUUAAAGAGGAAGACUUCAUUACUAAUUCCGUUGAAAAGCGAGAUGGGAAAGGCCAGGAGUAUAGAAAGCAACCUCGUAGGGGACCCUUGAAAAAUGAUGCUGUCCCCUCAGUUUGGCCUAAGCAAAGCAAUGCAAUCCUUAAGCCUCCGAACUACCUUUCCUUAUCAUCACCACUGACUGAAUGUGCUGGCCAACUCGAGCUUCCACGAGUAGUCAAAGACUCCAACUUGAACACCAACGUCAAGAGGCCUUGGAGUCUGAAAUAUUUUAUGAGGAAGAAGUGCACACAUCAACGGAUAUGUUUGAUAAGUUAUCUCGGGAGACAUUGCCAUCAGGAUUUCUUCUUAUAAAAGUACCCAAAUUGUCACUCGUAAAACUUGAAGCUACUGAGGACAAGGGUCUAGAAAUCAAAGCAAGUUUGGAAAUCGAGGACAACCUCACCUUCAAAGUUUUCCUACGGCAUCACAGGAUCAGUAACACUUCAGUCUCUCACUUUCUUGGAUUAAAAUUGAAUAAGAUCAAUUCUGUGACUGAAGCUAUCAAUAGCUUCAGUCAUCUUGGAUCAAAGGAGUAAUUGACUCAAUAUGACACGUAUAAAGUCACUAUGAGCUUGUUGUAUAGAUUGAAUAAAUCCCAAGACUUGGAGAAACCCCAAACAUCAAAAUUGGAAUUUUUAACAGAGCAGUUGCCACUACUCCUCCAGACCCAAAAGCGAGGAGGUACAGUGCAGGCCUUCUUUCUGUUUGUCUUUUGUGGCAAAAUAUGAGUACUGCCCUCUAAGACCAAAUUUAUUGAUCAAAUACUCUAACAAUUCCAUGUGCCCAGCAUCUUAGUGCCCUUUCAAGUGCUGUAACUGUAGAGGCAGGUUUGCCAGUUUCAACCUUACAAUAUUUAAGUACCCGAAUAAAGGACCUGAACAGAAGAGAACGAAAUGUGACUCUCAUAAUUGAUGAGGUCUACUCUGCUCAAAGAGUGGAGUUUGUGAGAGGCAAGUUUCUAGGAACUGAGAACAAUCAAACCACUAAAACUGUCCUCACCUCUAUGAUUAAGUCUGCUGGGGGCAAAUACAUGGAUGUUGUAUCACUUAUUCCCGUGGCAAAUUUGAAGGCCGAAUUCAUCUUUAGUCAAUAUAUAGUCAUCAUGCACAAUGUUUACUUAUAUUUUUACACUAAAUGUAAUUUCUCCGUUUAUUACGAUGUAUUUUUUAUAUAACAUGCUGUAAAAUAGAGUCCUCAAAAAAAACAAAAAAAAACACUUCAAAUAAAUUAAAACAUCUGUAUGCAUUUAUACAAGUAUUUGCUUUUAGCACACUUUUUUACAUAUGGUUACCAAAAAUUCUAAAAACAAUAAAGCUAAUUUUUACGUC
rnacentral:lncRNA from 1 species